CACACCGCCCGUCACAUCACGAAAGUGGGUUGUACUAGAAGUCGUCGCGCCAACCCGUAAGGGAGGCAGCCUACCACGGUGAGCUUCAUGACUGGGGUG
rnacentral:rRNA from 1 species